rnacentral:lncRNA from 1 species
ACAGAGCGCGGAGCGGGAAGGGAGGGCUGGAGCGCAGACGGCCGACGCGCGGGGGCUGCCAUGGGCGCGCACUGACCCGCUGCUCAGCGCGAACUUCCUUGGCGGCGCGGAGCUCCCCGGCUGGCGGUGCGUCUCCUCCGUCACCAUGAAAGACGACUUCGCAGAGGAGGAGGAGGUGCAUUCCUUCGGUUACAAGCGGUUUGGGGUCAAAUUGGAGCUGCAGUUGCUGGCCUACAUCACAGCCACAGCAACACCAGAUCCAAGCCACAUCCACUACCUACACCACAGCUCUUGGCCGGGCCAGGGAUCGAACCCUCAUCCUCAUGGAUACUAGUCGGGUUUGUAACCUGCUGAGCCACAACGGGAACUCCCUGAAAUAACCUUUCUAACAUGUCCUUCUUGUUCUGUGUAGCAGGAAAAGGUGUAUAAGUCAGAUCAUUGCUGACAUUUUAGAUUUCGAAUCUUCAAUCUAAGCUCAAACAUUCAAAGCAGUAUAAGUGAGAACCAUAUUCUCUCCCUUUGGGUUUUUUUUUUUUUUAAAUUUCUAAGAGGAAGUCCUCAUGACAGCUUAUAUAAUACUUGUUUGGGGGAAUUCCUGUUGUGGUUCAGGGGAAGCAAUCUGAUUAGCAUCACGAGGACUCAGGUUCAAUCCCUGGCCUUGCUCAGUGGGUUAAGGAUCUGCUGUGGCCGUGAGCUGUGGUGUAGGUCGCAGACAUGGCUUGGAUCUAGCAUUGCUGUGGCUGUGGGGCAGACCUGCAGCUACAGCUCCAAUCUGACCCCUAGCCUAGGAACCUCCAUUUGCCGUGGCCCUAAAAAGACCACAUAUGCUGUGGCCCUAAAAAAAACAACAACAGGAUACUUGUUUGGUUUCAUUUAAUGAAGAAUGUCCAGAUGCAUUUGUUGCUCUACCUCAGGUUUUACAUAGAAGGCCUACUAUUGAGUUCCUUUGGGAAAUCAUCCAGAGGAAAUAGGAGUGCUUUUCACUCUGGUAAGCAUUCACUGACUGCCCUCUGUGUGCCGUGAACUGGGGUACAAAGAUGAAUAAACAUGGUCUCUGCCCUUGGCUAUUUUAUUCAUUUAUCAUCAACAUUUCUCAUUCAUUUUAAAAACAUUUCGCAGAAAACAAAAUGUGUAAAGGCUCUUAUGAAGACACAAUUUUUCUCGUAAAAAUGUUUAUACUAGGAAUAGCCCAGUUGAUAAGCCUCAUCAAAGGCUUCACCCAAAGAGUCAUAAAGUAGAUAAAGAAACAGGGCUGCCUUUUUGUGAUGGAUGUGAUAUGAAAUAGGGUGUCAGAAAUUUGCGUAUAAAUUCUGCAGGUGGGCUUGGAAAGAGAGAGUGAAACAGAUGGGGAACAGAAAGGAAGCCCAUUAGCCCAGGGAAAGAUGAGUGAGGCAUUGGUGGAAAUUUGGGGAAGAGAUUUAAGCAAGGAACACAAGCCUUAAAAAUGCCCUUUUUCUGUGACAUAUAUGCACUUUGUGAGAUUUGCUGAGAAAUUGAAGCAAGCAAGACUCCUGGGAAAAUGUCAUUCUUAGUCAAUGCAGUACGAAAGUGAUGUGACAUUUAUUAACUAUCCAUUAUAUGUUGGUACCAUGCACAGUAAAGAAGGGAGACAUGGCCUUUUGCCUUUGGGAAUUUCCAAUGUAAUGAAAAGCAGACAGAGUUUUCCAACAGGGGUAUAUUUGCAUGAAAGGAAAACAUCAGCCAACCCUACAAAUUGCUUCCCCUCCCACCCGCAGAAUUUCAGAAGGCACAAUAGAGGGCACCCCGUGCCAGAUGGAAUGCGAGCCGAGCCGCCUCUUCUCUCUGUUGUUCUAAGUUCAGUGUCAGCAAGACUUCAGUGGUUUCCGGAUGAGGUGGGGGGGUUGCCUUUGCACCCGCCUUGCAUCUGCACAUGAAGAGGGAAUGUGUGUGACGUCCCCAACCUUUGCCCAACAGGAAAGGUUCAGGACGAAGCAUGAGAACCUGUUUGAUGGAAGCCCAAGAGAAAAGGUUGGAUGGUAAUUUCCAUCUCCAUAUGGUGGCGUGCCAUCAGCCCAGCUGUCAGCAAAUUGCUGCCAGCUGAACCCACCCUGCUUAUUAAUGGCAGUUACGGUGCUUUAAAACACAGUUCAGAAAGUGUGUAAUAAAAUGAUCUGGGGAGUUCCUGUUGUGGCUCAGCAAGUUAAGGACCUGGUGUUGUCUCUGUGAGGAUGCAGGUUUGAUUCCUGGCCUAAGUGAGUUAAAGAUCUGCGGUACAUAGGCUGUGGCGUAGGCUGGCAGCUGUGGCUCUGAUUCAGCCCCUAGCCCGGGAACUUCCAUAUGCUGCAGGUGUGGCCGUAAAAAGAAAAAAACAUUAAAAAAAAAAUAAUAAUUUGGUUCAGAAGCCUUCACUUUUAAUGGACCAAAAUGUACCUCCUAUAAACGGUAAAUAAGGACCUCAGAGGGCCUGAGUGACCUUAAAUAUGUAAAUUACCAUCUCUAAGCCUUCUUUUUUACUUGUUAUGGAAAGAGGGAUAAGACUGCCCAUUGAGAGGGGUGCUGCAAAGAUUAAUUAAUGUAAGUGAAGUGCUGAGCACAGUGCCUGACGCUUAGAGGCUAUUCCAUAAUUGCACAUCCGAGGAAGAGAACUCGAUUUUUUUAAAAAAAAUUUCAGUUAAUUAAAUUAAAUUAAUUAAUUUAUUUAUGGGCACCCCAUGGCGUGUGGAAGUUCCUGGGCCAGGGAUCUAACCUGUACCAUAGCAAUGACCCAAGCCACUGCAGUGACAAUGCAGGAUCCUUAAUCUGCUGAGCCACAAGGAAACUCCUCAGUUUUUUUUAAUUGAACCAUUUUUCUCUCUGUCAUUGCAUGCACACACACACACAAUACACACAUGUAGGGGUGUGUGUGUGCACUUGUGUGGGCAUCACUGGAUAUUUGAAGAGUUCUGAAUUGAUAGCAUGGAGAUUAGAAUAUCAGUCUUUUUCUGCAUGUUAACUAAAUCUGUGAAUUUUGCAAAAUGAUGUAAGCUCUCUGGGUCUCAGAUAAGCUCUUCUUUGAGGAAUGAAAAAGGGGGUUGGAAUAGAUGAUUUCAAAAACUUUUUUUUUUUUUAAAUAGCCUCACCUGCCGCACAUGGACAUUCCAGGCCAGGUAUUGAAUCCAAGCCAAGCUGCUGCUACAGCAACUCGGAUCCUUUAACCCACUGCGCCAGGCCAGGAAUCACACCCACAUCUCUGUGGCAACCCAAAGUGCUUCAGUCUGAUUCUUAACCCACUGAGCCACAGUGGGAACUCCUCAAAGACUUCUUUAGGCCAUGCUGUGUCAUGGGUUUGUAUCUCUAAUGUAAUCCAAGGCUCUAUUUUGCCACUACAUGCAAUUUUUAAAAAUAUAUGUUAAUUUUCACCCUUUCUUUUACCUCAGAAUAGGUAUUUUGAUACCCUCAUUUCAGAUAUAUUUUCCCAGGUAUCUGAUACAAAAUUGAGCAAAAAUUGGCCGAGGGAAAACUUUCUUCUGUUCUCAUUAGUUUUGUUCAAAAUAUCAGUGACCUCAUGAUGUUUGGUUUUCCAUUUGGUUGUGUUCCUAUCAUGUAACGUUAGAGAUAUUGAAGCAUUCUGUAGGCUUAAAUGUUUUGAAAUCACUUUAUUCUAGAUUUCUACGCUCAAAAAUGGAAGAUUGUCUUCCUUCCAAGCUUCCGAAAAUCAGUAAUUACUCAAAUACACGUGUCUGCAAAUUUAAUAAGAAGCAUAAUGGUUCCAUUAAUAAUCCCCCCAAAAUUUGUCCAUUUCCUCUCAAUUCAGUGAUCUGUUUAUCAUAUUAUGAAAUUUUUCUUUGUACGUCUCAUGUUAAUUAAAGACAUCCUGAAUGAAAAGAUAAAUCUUCUACUUAUGAAUAAAGGGGAAAAAAAUCACUUUAGCUAUGCCUCUUGUUGAGAAAAAGGCCCACUGGGAACUCUGACUUUCACACCUUCUUGGGUUAGUGACCAAAUAUUUGAAUC